GUACCAGUGCAGCGGCCUCCUGGAGCAGGACCUGGCCGAGCUCUGCGCCCGCGCCGGCAUCGCCGCCGUCCCCGCGGUCACCCCGCGGCCGUCCCCCGCUGGCCCCGCAGCCAGUGAGCGGGGUGCGGGAGAGGGGGGGCGGGGGGAGUUGUGCUGGGGUUUGGGGUCCCGAGGCACCCAUCCCUCUGCAGCGGAGGGCGAGGAACCGGCGGGGCCGGAGACCCGCACCCGGCGCCGGCACGGCCACGUCCAGCGCUGCGUCCAGGUGGAGACGGAGCACGACGACCCCCGGAGCGUCCGCGAGGUCUUCCUGCGAGGCUGGACCGUCGAGGAGGAGAUGCUGGGCGUCCUCGGCAAGUGCCUGCCCGCCCUCGCCCACCUGCGGGCCGUGCAGUGAGUGUGGGGCUGGGGAGGGGGCACGCGGGUGACCCCCCCCCAGGCGCUGCCACGUCCCCUCCCCAGCGACGUGCCGCUUGAUGCCACUUGUGUCCCCCCCCCGCAGCCUCUGGAGGGCCGGGCUGACCGACCGCCUGCUCCCCGCGCUGACCACGCUGCUGGCACGCUGCCCCGGCCUCGGGUAGGCAGUGGGGGGGGGGUGUGGGGGGGGAAACACCUUGAUUGGUGUCUCGUUAUCUUUAAUUAAGAGAAUUUUGGAAACUCCUGCCUCCGCAGGACGCUCAGCCUGGAGGGGAACCCCUUGCCGGAGCACUCCUUCCACCUGCUGAUGGGGCCCGGCAGCACGUGAGUGCCGCGCUCGACCCCGCGCAGAGCGGGGGGGGGGGGAACGCUACGGGGCGAAAUCCCGCCUGGGACCACCGGGACCCCCGCUGUCCCCCCCCCGUCCCCGCAGGCUGUCCCACCUCUCGCUGCGCAACAACGGCAUCGGCGACGAGGCCGCCCGGCUCAUCGGGCAGAGCCUCUCCACCCUCAGCUCCUCCAACCGCGGCCUGGUCUCGCUGGUCCUCAGCUUCAACCGCAUCUCGGACGUGGGAGCGGGGCACAUCGCCCAGGGCUUGCGCUGGAACCGCUCGCUGCUGUCGCUGUCCCUGGCGCACAACGACAUCGGGGACGUGGGGGCCCUGCGGCUGGCCGAGGUGGGCUUCACCCCCCCCAGCAAGGGAGCAGGAGCGGGAUGGGGCCGGAGGGAGAUGGGGCCGGAGCUGAGCGGGAUGGGGCUGGAGCGGGUUGGGGCCGGAGCGGGAUGGGGUCGGAGCGGGAUGGGGUCGGAGCGGGAUGGGGUCGGAGCGGG
rnacentral:lncRNA from 1 species